UUGGGGAAUCUUGCGCAAUGGGCGAAAGCCUGACGCAGCCAUGCCGCGUGAAUGAUGAAGGUCUUAGGAUUGUAAAAUUCUUUCACCGGGGACGAUAAUGACGGUACCCGGAGAAGAAGCCCCGGCUAACUUCGUGCCAGCAGCCGCGGUAAUACGAAGGGGGCUAGCGUUGCUCGGAAUUACUGGGCGUAAAGGGCGCGUAGGCGGACAGUUUAGUCAGAGGUGAAAGCCCAGGGCUCAACCUUGGAAUUGCCUUUGAUACUGGCUGUCUUGAGUACGGGAGAGGUGAGUGGAACUCCGAGUGUAGAGGUGAAAUUCGUAGAUAUUCGGAAGAACACCAGUGGCGAAGGCGACUCACUGGCCCGUUACUGACGCUGAGGCGCGAAAGCGUGGGGAGCAAACAGGAUUAGAUACCCUAGUAGUCC
rnacentral:rRNA from 1 species